ACUAAACAACAACAACAUAUUAUCCAUGGAAAUGUUUUUCAUUACCUGAUAAGAAGACUGCUUUUGCACAGGUGAAGAUUGAGCUUCUUCAUCCAAUAGCAACAGCAAAGCUCUGACACCUACCUAUUUAACCCUUGCCUUUCCUUUGAUCAAGUGGUACCAAUUUAAAUGUCAGCUCUGGCAAAGGGAUCAGGCAUUGGCCAAAGUAGAAACUGACCCACCAGGUCAUCCCAUGCAAAUAACUCAAUGACCAUCAUGUGAAAACUUUUGGUGUUCAUAAAUCAGGAAAACAUCUUUACCAAAAAUGUUCAGUUGUCAAAGAACCAUUUUACCUCUUGUGUGCACACAUGUGCACAUGCACACAAAUAUGUUUUGAGAAAAUGAGGAUAAGAGAACUGAUCUAUCCUAAAACUUUAAAUCUUGACUAAAGGCAUUCACAUAUUAAUAUACAAAGGAGUCAUGGUUAAAGGUUAAAAAUGCAUAUGCCACAGUGAUAUCAUAUAUUGGUGUGUUAUAUGGAUCUGUUAUUUGGGUGGGCUUAGAAAGUAAAGUAUUUGAAAUGAAAUAAAGACAAAUGAAAUUUCUAAUCAGUUUAUGGUCCUGGAGAAUUUUCAAACCAAAGUUAUUAUAAGAGUAAUGUAAGCAGGAAGAUAUAAGAAAAAAAGAGAAAGAAAAGAAAGAAAAGAAAAAAAAAGUCAGUUAAGUGGAAUUUAAGUUGUUAGGCUACAGUGUAGAACUCCAUUACCAUAUCUUUCUUUUUUUUAAUAGUAUUCUCUGAAAAGCACUAGAUGUAAUAAAGUCAAUUUAAAAUUUGUUCUACCAAUCUUUUGCAUCUGUAAUUUUCCCAUUAAACGUAAAUGCCCAUGAGGCAAGCUAUUUGCAUUACAUUGCAUUUGCAGUCUUUAAAACAAACUAUAAAUCCCCUCCUUGUUUCAUGUGAUUGAUGCUGUGUGUAUAAAUACCACCAUAAACCUCAAAGGGGGCUAACAGUGACAGUAAAUUAAAGUUUUCAAGUCUGGCAGCAUCUCAGCACUCCAGCCCUUGAUCUUAAGCAGUGUUGUUAACCCCCGCCUCAUUGCCCUCCUGAACUCACCUUUUUUUCCCCUUCUUUCCUGCUCUGCCCCCCAUUCUGAUUUCCUUGGGAAACACCUUCCCGGCCAUGCAAGUCACACCAGGGCAGGGAGAGGCAGUUAAUUAAAUCGAGGCUGCAGUGGGCUUGCUGGAGAGCCGAAGGCCCUGACUUGCAGCCCUCCAGGAUCUGAGAUCAAGAAUGUUGCAGACCCCUUCCCUCUGUAAACAAUGGUCAGCCACAGAGAUACUGAUUAACUGGCAAAACCCCCAUGAUUAGCUGCUUUCAUGGUGAUUGUCUUCUGCUCAGCGGCCUUCCCAUUGGGAGGAGGAGACAUGAGUAGUUGAUGGAGAAAGGAUGCAGAGGAAAAGGAAGAAAGAGACUUCUCAAUAUAUUUUUCAAUUUCCAUGUAUUGAAUCACCUCUUCAUUCUCAUUAUUUUAUUCUCCAUUUUGAAAGGGCAUGACGGAUGUAAUUACUUUUUAUUAAAACUUAGCCUGGCCAAUAGCAUCUUCACCUAGAUUGGAGGUGUUCCUUGAAAUGUAAACAAAUCUAAUGCCUUUCUGGAGCUUCAGAGGACCCUUUAGUCGCUGUAAUUAAUUGAUGGGUACAGCUGGUAAAUUAUUCCUUGUCUCCAUCUUAUUGCAGUAGAAAUAGAUUUGGAGAAAAUGGUGAUCAAAAUGGUGAUCCUGGAGAAAUCAUAACUGUUGACCCACUGACUUUGCCUCCCCUCCCAGUAUGUGGAUCUAGGAGGAAGAAUCCAAGAAAUAUUGACACUCUGAAGAGAGUGUCUCUACCCAAGAUAGAUUUCUGGAGACUUCCUUUGUCUGUUUUCUUCUGAAAGACAGAACUGCUGACCACGGAAUCUGCUUCUUCUGCUGCCCAGAAGCCUUCUUCAAGGAGGUAGCUGUGACAAUCCAUUCAUCUUUCUCAUUAUACUGCUGUUUUUUUACAAGUCUUCCAUAUGCCUGAUGUAACGAAAGUGAAAAUUCCUGUUGACUUGGUUAAAGACACGAAGUUUAUUAUCAUUUCUGCAAGGGACUCUUGGAACUCAUUUACAGCCAAGUAAAUAAAUGGUGGAGAAGAGGGAGGAAACAGCUAUUUAUAGUCUUCACUAUGUGUCUGUCACCCUAUUUGGUGAUUUCACAUGUUAUCAACCUUUGCAAUAAUCCCGUCAGGCAGUUUCAUUUUUCUUUGUCAAUAAAAUAGGAAAAAUGAUGUCUAAGAAACAUGUUCAAGGUCCUCCAAAUGAUAACUGGCGGUAGCUUGUUUGUUUGUUUUUUUUUUUUUGAGAUUGUCCUUUUCUCUCCUCAAAGUUUCUAAUGGAGCCUGUUCCCAAACACAAAAUGUGAAAUCUUAAAGGCAGAUCCUAAGGACAGAGACAUAGACACCAGUGUCUUCCAGUAAACACAUGGGUCCACCUGAUUUUGGGGCUAUUCAUACAAGAGUUUAUAAUCUCAUGUAUCUUCUGGCCAUCUGGUUAUUGUUUCUGCUGUUGGAAAUAAACAGAAUAAGGAAA